UGCCUCAGUAACGGCGAGUGAAGCGGCAACAGCUCAAAUUUGAAAUCUGGCCCCCUCGGGGCCCGAGUUGUAAUUUGUAGAAGAUGCUUUGGGGACGGCUCCGGUCCAAGUUCCUUGGAACAGGGCGUCAUAGAGGGUGAGAAUCCCGUACAUGCCCGGUCGCCCGACCCGUGUAAAGCUCUUUCGACGAGUCGAGUUGUUUGGGAAUGCAGCUCAAAAUGGGUGGUAUAUUUCAUCUAAAGCUAAAUACUGGCCAGAGACCGAUAGCGCACAAGUAGAGUGAUCGAAAGAUGAAAAGCACUUUGGAAAGAGAGUUAAACAGUACGUGAAAUUGUUGAAAGGGAAGCGCUUGCAACCAGACUUGCCCGCGGUCAAUCAUCCGGUGUUCUCACCGGUGCACUUGAUCGUGUUCAGGCCAGCAUCGGUUCAGGUGGUGGGACAAAGACCCUGGGAACGUAGCUCCUCUCGGGGAGUGUUAUAGCCCUCGGUGCAAUGCCGCCUACCUGGACCGAGGACCGCGCUUCGGCUAGGAUGCUGGCGUAAUGGUUGUAAGCGGCCCGUCUUGAAACACGGAUCAAGGAGUCUAACAUCUAUGCGAGUGUUUGGGUGCCAAACCCAUACGCGUAAUGAAAGUGAACGGAGGUGAGAGCCCUCAAGGGCGCAUCAUCGACCGAUCCUGAUGUCUUCGGAUGGAUUUGAGUAAGAGCAUAGCUGUUGGGACCCGAAAGAUGGUGAACUAUGCCUGAAUAGGGUGAAGCCAGAGGAAACUCUGGUGGAGGCUCGCAGCGGUCUGACGUGCAAAUCGAUCGUCAAG
rnacentral:rRNA from 2 species